rnacentral:rRNA from 1 species
UACAGAGGGUGCGAGCGUUAAUCGGAUUUACUGGGCGUAAAGGGCGCGUAGGCGGCCAGCACAAGUCAGUUGUGAAAUCUCCGGGCUUAACUCGGAAAGGUCAACUGAUACUGUGCGGCUAGAGUGCAGAAGGGGCAACUGGAAUUCUCGGUGUAGCGGUGAAAUGCGUAGAUAUCGAGAGGAACACCUGCGGCGAAGGCGGGUUGCUGGGCUGACACUGACGCUGAUGCGCGAAAGCCAGGGGAGCGAACGGG